rnacentral:rRNA from 1 species
AGGAUGAAGGUCUUCGGAUUGUAAACUCCUGUUGCCAGGGACGAAUGGCUCCGACCUAAUACGUCGGAGUAUGACGGUACCUGGUGAGGAAGCCCCCGGCUAACUCUGUGCCAGCAGCCGCGGUAAUACAGAGGGGGCGAGCGUUGUUCGGAAUUACUGGGCGUAAAGGGCGCGUAGGCGGCCCGCUAAGUCGAACGUGAAAUCCCCAGGCUCAACCUGGGAACUGCGUCCGAUACUGGCAGGCUUGAAUCCGGGAGAGGGAUGUGGAAUUCCAGGUGUAGCGGUGAAAUGCGUAGAUAUCUGGAGGAACACCGGUGGCGAAGGCGGCAUCCUGGACCGGCAUUGACGCUGAGGCGCGAAAGCUAGGGGAGCAAACGGGAUUAGAUACCCCGGUAGUCCUAGCCCUAAACGAUGAAUGCUUGGUGUGGCGGGUAUCGAUCCCUGCCGUGCCGAAGCUAACGCAUUAAGCAUUCCGCCUGGGGAGUACGGUCGCAAGGCUG